GGGCGUUUAGCUCAGCUGGUUUAGAGCAUCUGCCUUACCAGCAGAGGGUCGGCGGUUCGAAUCCGUCAACGCCCA
rnacentral:tRNA from 1 species